CAGUAGCCGCGGGAAUGCGUAGGUGGCAAGCGUUGUCCGGAAUUACUGGGCGUAAAGCGUGCGCAGGCGGUUCGUUAAGACAGAUGUGAAAUCCCCGGGCUUAGCCUGGGAACUGCAUUUGUGACUGGCGAGCUAGAGUAUGGCAGAGGGGGGUAGAAUUCCACGUGUAGCAGUGAAAUGCGUAGAGAUGUGGAGGAAUACCGAUGGCGAAGGCAGCCCCCUGGGCCAAUACUGACGCUCAUGCACGAAAGCGUGGGGAGCAAACAGGAUUAGAGACCCCAGUAGUCCCUGUCUCUUAUAC
rnacentral:rRNA from 1 species